UAUCUGACUAUCAUAGUGCAGGGCUCCUACAUGCAUGAGGCUGGGUCCGGAAGGUCUACUGCCUCGAUGGGGAGUCUCCCGUAUGAGUAUCCCCGAGAAGCAGGCCCCCGUUAACUUCUUGCCAGCAGCCGCGGUAAUACGUAGGUGGCAAGCGUUGUCCGGAAUUAUUGGGCGUAAAGGGCGCGUAGGCGGUCCCUUAAGUCAUAUGUGAAAUCCCGAGGCUUAACCUCGGGCGUGCAUUUGAAACUGGGGGACUAGAGUGCAGGAGAGGUAAGUGGAAUCCCUAUUGUACCGGUGAAAUGCGUAUAUAUUAUGAGGAACACCAUUGGCGAAGGCGACUUACUGGACUGUAACUGACGCUGAGGCGCGAAAGCGUGGGGAGCAAACAGGAUUAGAUACCCUGGUAGUCCACGCUGUAAACGAUGGAUACUAGGUGUGGGAGGUAUCGACCCCUUCCGUGCCGCAGUAAACGCAAUAAGUAUCCCGCCUGGGGAGUACGGCCGCAAGGUUGAAACUCAAA
rnacentral:rRNA from 1 species